UGGGGAAUAUUGCACAAUGGGCGCAAGCCUGAUGCAGCCAUGCCGCGUGUGUGAAGAAGGCCUUCGGGUUGUAAAGCACUUUCAGCGAGGAGGAAGGUGGUGAGCUUAAUACGCUCAUCAAUUGACGUUACUCGCAGAAGAAGCACCGGCUAACUCCGUGCCAGCAGCCGCGGUAAUACGGAGGGUGCAAGCGUUAAUCGGAAUUACUGGGCGUAAAGCGCACGCAGGCGGUUUGUUAAGUCAGAUGUGAAAUCCCCGGGCUCAACCUGGGAACUGCAUUUGAAACUGGCAAGCUAGAGUCUCGUAGAGGGGGGUAGAAUUCCAGGUGUAGCGGUGAAAUGCGUAGAGAUCUGGAGGAAUACCGGUGGCGAAGGCGGCCCCCUGGACGAAGACUGACGCUCAGGUGCGAAAGCGUGGGGCAGCAAACAGGAUUAGAUACCCUGGUAGUCCACGCUGUAAACGAUGUCGAUUUGGAGGUUGUGCCCUUGAGGCGUGGCUUCCGGAGCUAACGCGUUAAAUCGACCGCCUGGGGAGUACGGCCGCAAGGUUAAAACU
rnacentral:rRNA from 1 species